AUUGAACGCUGGCGGCGUGCUUAACACAUGCAAGUCGAACGGAGGUUAAUUAAGAGUUUACUUUUAACUAACCUAAGUGGCGGACGGGUGAGUAACGCGUGGAUAACCUACCCCUUAGCCUGGGAUAACGCCGGGAAACUGGUGCUAAUACCGGAUACGUUCAUCUGGCUGCAUAGCCGGAUGAAGAAAGGUGCAAACCGCUACAGGAUGGGUCCGCGUCCCAUUAGCUAGUUGGCAGAGUAACAGCCUACCAAGGCAACGAUGGGUAGCCGGCCGGAGAGGGCGACCGGCCACACUGGAACUGAGAAACGGUCCAGACUCCGACGGGAGGCAGCAGUGGGGAAUCUUCCGCAAUGGGCGCAAGCCUGACGGAGCAACGCCGCGUGAGUGAAGAAGGUUUUCGGAUUGUAAAACUCUGUCCGCAGGGAAGAAGAAAAUGACGGUACCUGUGGAGGAAGCCCCGGCUAACUACGUGCCAGCAGCCGCCGUAAUAC
rnacentral:rRNA from 1 species